UAAAUAGAAAAAAAGAAAGGCAGAAUUAUAUAGAGUGGUAAAGUUAAGAUGUUAUGUAGAUAGGCAUACUUCUUCGGUUGGAAAUAAAUAAAAAAAUCUUGUUAAUAAGUAUGAGUAGAAAAAAAAAUUAAGAAAGAAAGGAAAAAAUAUAUACACAGGUUAGGUAGUAUGGUGGUAAAGUUUAGAGGUGAAGUAGAUAGGCAGGCUUGUUCGGUAUGAAAUCAAAAAAAGAUAUUGUUCAUGAGUAUAAAUAGAAAAAAAAAAGAAGAGAGGAAGAAAGACAAAAUUAUAUACUCAGGUUAGGUAGUAUGGUGAUAAAUUUUAGAGGUGAAGUAGAUAGACAGGCUUGUUCGGUAGGAAAUUAAAAAAGAUCUUGUUCAUGAGUAUAAAUAGAAAAAAAAGAAGAGAGGAAGAAAGACAAAAUUAUAUACACAGGUUAGCUAGUAUAGUAAAGUUUGAAGGUGAAGUAGAUAGACAGGCUUGUUAGGUAGGAAAUUAAAAAAGAUCUUGUUCAUGAGUAUAAAUAGAAAAAAAAGAAGAGGAAGAAAGACAAAAUUAUAUACACAGGUUAGCUAGUAUAGUGAUAAAGUUUAAAGGUGAAGUAGAUAGGCAGGCUUGUUCGGUAGGAAAUUAAAAAAAGAUCUUGUUCAUGAUUAUAAAUAGAAAAAAAAGAAGAGAGGAAGAAAGACAAAAUUAUAUACACAGGUUAGUUAGUAUAGUGGUAAAGUUUAAAGGUGAAGUAGAUAGGCAGGCUUGUUCGGUAGGAAAUAUAAA